GAACAGAUACAAAACUGGCUUUCACUCUGAUCUGACAGAGUUUUUUUUCUUUUCUGAGAUCAUUGUGAAAGCUGAUUUUGUCGA
rnacentral:pre_miRNA from 1 species